CGUUAUAAAUAUUGGUUUCUAGUUUAGCAAAAAAGUUUAAGUUUAGGUUUAAGAUUAAAUAUUGAAAUACGUUAAGUUACUUGCAAUUUCUUUUGGAUUUACUUUUAUAUUUUUUAAUGAAAUAAUUUCAUUUAGCAUUUCAGUCAUUGGUAUCCUUUUGGGUUCUGGGAGACAAGCCCCAAGAACUUCUUGAACUUGUAUAGAUGGUCGCUGGGUCUAUCUAUCUAAUGGCAAAUACUCGUAGUAAGUAAAUUCCUUCAUUUAUUUUAAUUUCACUUUGCACAGGCCUUGGAUUUGCUUAGUUUUGGGCGGCAAUGCUAGAUACAGAAUCAGGCAUGCUUAACAGAAUGCGGAACAGGAUAAGGAAUAGGAUUGGGAAUGGGAAUGGGAAACAUCAUCAUCAUUACCAUCGAGAAUGGUCCUACCCGUUGAACCGAACCGGCAACACAACUUUUCCAAUUAAUCAACACGGAGGGAGGAGCCGGGAGGGGACCGGCAUUUUAACAGCCACCAUCCUCAUAAAUAUUCAUGCUGUCAAUGCGCAUAAAUACCUAAGUGCAUAUUUAUGGGCCAGCAUUUGUUGUUAUGAGUUUUACAUUUAUGGCCUUUUUACUUUGUUAAUUAAAAGGCGGGCCGACGAGAGGCAUUCUUGUGAUUCAUUCGCCUGCAGCCUAAUGGCCACGUUAAUUGCUUCGAGAGAGCGUUCCACAAAUACUUCACAGACCAUCUAAAAAGACGAACCCCACACCCGAAACAACAUUUUUCCAUUGGGAGGAAGUGGAAAAUGCAUCUCUCUGUUUACAGUUCCCACGUGUUUAUCAUGUGUGUGCGGGUCAUAAAGCGAUUUCUCUGAUUGAGAAUUCACUCGACUUGAAGUGCAAUUCAAUUUCUGUUUAUAAAUCACUAAUUAUGACUGGGGGGCAUUGGCUAAAAGCUACGCAUAAAUAAACAUUUAAACAAAUACGCGCUUAAAUAUUUAUCAACUGUUUCAAUGUUUGGAACUAUCCGCUGCCAAUGCCGCUGCCGCCACCGCAACCGAAUUUCAAUUAAAACCCAAAAUCCCACUCGGCACUCCCCACUCUGUCUAAACAUCUGAGAAUCGCUGGGAAAUCUGCUACCCAGUGGGUGCUGCAAUUUAGCAAGUUAAUCAGGCAUUAAAUUGGCUUAUUGCGUCUGGAUAGUUGGAAUAGAUGUUGACAGAAAUGAAAAUGCAUAUUGUAAUUUACGCAUUCCGUGCAAUAAUAAAUUCAAUUUCCUCGUCCAAUUUGUGGCUUUUGACAUUAGAAAUUUAGAUUUGCAACAAAAAAAAAAGUCUGAAAAUAA
rnacentral:lncRNA from 1 species